UCUAGGAGUUGUCAGAUUAAACCCCCAGACCCACGAGAAAAUCCCUGAAGCCUCGUUGUCUUUUGUUGAUGGAGCCUCUCUGAAGGGCAAAUUCAAAGUGCAGCUGGGUGCUGCAGCACUGGAGUGCGAACUUGUGGCUGUGGUUAUGAAGGAGCCUAGGCAGCUAUGCCUUUAGCCCCUGGUGAAGCAGUGCCAGUCACACUUUGCCAGUCAAAUGGAGAGGCAGCAGUAGUAAGACCAGACCAAAUCAAACCAAACCAAGCAAACCACAGGGGAAUGGAG
rnacentral:lncRNA from 1 species